CCGAUGUGUAGCUUCAGUUGGUCAGAGCGAUUGACUGUAGUGUUCUAUACUGUGUUUCAGUAUUCUCGGAAAUCAAUUGGUCGCUGGUUCGCUUCCGGCCACUCGGA
rnacentral:tRNA from 1 species